CGUGUAUCUCUGUGGGGCGGGUGUGGAGUUCCGACCAGCGGCACCGUCCUCCCGCGAGGGAAACGGCCGGAGAGGAACGAAGCGAAGCGAAUGACAGCAAUGAUCGUUUGUUUGUUUGUUCUCAUGUGUCAUUGUAAUCGCACGGGAAGAAUUGCUAUGCGCAGGCGCAUGGGAUGCUACUAGAUACAGUGCUCAGGCGGGAGUAGGAAUAAGGAGUCGCACUUGUAGAAGAUAAGACGAGUAAAUGAGAUUCUGGGAUUGGGAUGAAGAAAGGGAGCAACGAUCGGAGCAUUUGCAUUUGUUUAAGAGAUUCUCCACUGGAGCCAAAGUGGGAAGGACCCUAUCAAGUGCUUCUAACUACGCACAUGGUAGUCAAGGUGAAAGGGUUGGUCCCGUGGAUACAUCAUACCUGUGUGAAGGAAGUGACUCAACUGCACUGGACCUGGGCAAAUCAAACUGAACAAGACUCCUGCAUUGCAGUCAACAACAGAUCCUUUCCAAACACACCUCGCUGGGAUUUUCAACGGUCUGCACUUUGAAAUUAUGUGGGAAACGGGGAGCAUUCUUUUGUGGUGAGAAAAACAUAGGUGCCAGACUCCUUGUCGGCAAGACAACGAGGAAGAGUGUUUACUUCAUCCCAAGGGACCAGAUGGGGAUGCGACCAUCCAGAGGAGAAUACAAUGCGUGUGCCGGAGGGGAGGGACUUGAUUAAUGAAUACGUAGUGGGGUUCAACGUAAUGUAUGAACUUGACUUACAAAUAUGUAACAUUUCUGUGGACUGGUAUGCAAGUUAGGAGGAGCUAUCCCCCUUGCAUCCAGCUUUGCGCAGCGUUGAUUAAAACAUACCUGAUUCUAU
ensembl:lncRNA